AAGAUGGAGGUUCGGUUGCACUCAAAGUGUUUGUGAAAAUGCCCGGUGGUGUUUGGAUGAGUGUUUUGGUAGAAUUCUAACUCAGUAAGCUUUCCAAAGGAGAAAGGAGCUAGAGGAGGUGCUUGAUAACAAGGCACAAGGUUGAUAACAAAAGCAACAGGUGUGUCCUGUUAGGAGUAAGCGAUGAAUCAAAAGCGUAUCGCUUGUUUGAUCCAAUCUCUAAGAAAGUUAUUAUCAGUAAAGAUGUUAUUUUCGAAGAACAAAAGAUGUUAUUUUUCAAAGAAAAUAUACUNAUGAGAUACUAGCAAGGUUUGGCAUGGAGAAUAUCAAUGCAGUAAAAAAUCAUAUUGUCCCAGGUACGAAACUGUCA
rnacentral:lncRNA from 1 species